UUUAGGACACAGACCCCCCCCCCACCUCCUUUCCCCUGCAGUUUGGAUGGUCUGGUCCUGACCAGAGGAAGAGGAGUGGCAGGGAGGGGAAAUGGUGAACAAUGACUUUAUGAACGUGAUGCCCGACACAAGCAACACAUCAGGACUUAACUGCGGCGCUCCAACUCAGGAUAUAUAUUUCCCACUUUGGAUUUAAUUCUUUUUAAACUCCCUAUUUUGUUUUUGUUUUUUUUUUUUGUUUUGUUUUUUGUUUUUUUGUUUUUUUUUUUUGGUGGGCUGCAUUUUAUCCCAUCCAAAUGGAAGUUUGCUAAUAAGCUUCAAGCAUGUUAAUCCCAAGAAGUUGGUGGUGUGGCCCCUCCGGACUCCGAUAAGAGAUUUGGAUGUGCGAUGAAACAUGGCCCAGCCUCCGUAGGCAACGCCCGGGAAGUUCUCAACAUCCAUAUGGAAGCCGCCAUUUUGUUUUUUGGCCCGUAGGACCGGAGAAAUAUUGUCAAGAAAAA